CAAGCAUCCAUCUAAGUGUCCAUCCAUCUAUGCAUCUAUCCAUCUGUCCAUCCAUCCAUCAUCAACCCAGUGAGUACAUGCUCUAGGCCCAGAACCCUGUGCCAGUUGCUAGGAUACAGACACCAAAACAGUUCACCAGGCCUGCCCGAGAAAGUGUUGCAGGUCUGGUGACCUGAUACUUGAGCAAACACCCAUGCCUCCUCAGCCAUAUCACGUUGUGGUGAAUGUGAAAGUUGUUUCAUGAAUCCAAAGGAUUAGCUGACUCCAACCCAAGGGGCCCCUCCUCCAAGUCACCGUCUCCCAUUUCGCCGCGUGCAAUGGGGGAUUUGACAGGGGAGGAGAAGGUGAAGGCCACUUCUGGUGGAUGGACCAGGCUUGCUAGGGCAGGUCUUUGUAAGCACACUGCAUGUUUGGCGGAAUGCGGUGCUGCAGUUGCGAGGCUACGAAGAUACAGGAUCGGAGAGCUAGCUGAAGAAACACGUUAGGAGAUGGAGGAGGGCGUUGAAUGCCAGCUCUGGACACAGGAUCCAGCAGCCUCUGUGGCUACCCAGAUCCUCCCUGGACUCACCUCAUUGGGAGAAAGAAGUAGGUUUUUGCCUCAGCAAGGAAACUGAGACUGACUGUCUACCAGUCUCCUCUCUUAUUCGAAGUGCCACUUGGUCGCCAAAGUCAGAAAUCUAAGUUUUGUCAGGGAGAUGGCUCAGCAGCAGGGGCCAGCUGUGAAGAUACACAUCCAAGACCCAGGAUUCCCAUUGGUUUUCUUCAGAGGCUUUCUCCGUGCCAAGGCUGUGAAGUGAUAGCAGUUGUGGGUCAAGGAGCCCUUCUGUGUUCUGGAUAGGAUGCUCCGGGUCUGCAAAAUUAAUGGGUCCUGCUGAAACCAGAAACUGGCUCUCAGCUCUAACCCGCCUUGCUGAGCUGUGGCACCCUCCCCAUCUUAUUUCAGACAUACCUUGGAGGUGGCACCUGUCCCUCAACUCCCAUGGUGCAGGAUCAUUACCUGACAGGGGCCUGGAGUCACCGGCGGCCACCUCAUCAUCUUAGAGAUGGGAAGAAACCCUGACUAUAACCAACCUGGCAUAUACUUUUUAGCCUUGCAUUGUCUAUAGGGUAAAAUCCACUUCUGGACUUGAAAACCUACCAAAACCCACCAGUCCCUGAGCCUGAAAAAUUUAACCAAUCCCUGAGCACGAAAUCCCUCCUAUCUUUGAGUUUGAAAUCCCACCAGUCUCUGAGCUGGGCUUGAAAUCUCAUCAGCUCCCCGCCCCACACCCUGGAAAUCUCCACUCUGGAAAGCUCGGCUCCCCCGAACUCUGUAUAAAGCCUGCCUCCUGCUCUGUUUAUUGCUACUUCUUACCCAGGCAGAGGUAACCACCCUCUUGUGUCCCUCUGAAUAAAUCUCUUGUGUGA